ACCCAGCUGACGAGUCUCAAAUAGGACGAAACGUGCGUCUUGGAU
rnacentral:hammerhead_ribozyme from 1 species